CCGGUGAAGUGUUCGGAUCGCGGCGACGCGGGCGUUUCGCCGCCGGCGACGUCGCGAGAAGUCCAUUGAACCUUAUCAUUUAGAGGAAGGAGAAGUCGUAACAAGGUUUCCGUAGGUGAACCUGCGGAAGGAUCAUUGUCGA
rnacentral:rRNA from 2 species